UACAGAGGUCCCGAGCGUUGUUCGGAUUUAUUGGGCGUAAAGGGCUCGUAGGCGGCCAACUAAGUCAGACGUGAAAUCCCUCGGCUUAACCGGGGAACUGCGUCUGAUACUGGAUGGCUUGAAUCCGGGAGAGGGAUGCGGAAUUCCAGGUGUAGCGGUGAAAUGUGUAGAUAUCUGGAGGAACACCGGUGGCGAAGGCGGCAUCCUGGACCGGCAUUGACGCUGAGGAGCGAAAGCGUGGGUAGCGAACAGG
rnacentral:rRNA from 1 species